rnacentral:lncRNA from 1 species
AAUGGAGUCCAUGAAAGAGUUUGAAGUGAAGUGAAUCUUACUUCAAUGUUAAUUAGAACUCCUGUAACUGCCCUUUUCUUAGCAAGAUCCAAGAAUUCAUUAAGAGUAACGAACUUUCCUGCAUUCUUGUUUGCAGGGUUUCGAGCAAGAGGGCCAUCAAAAACGCUUGCAAGUUGAGCUGAAAAGGGAGAAAAGCAUCAUAUGUCAAAAGCUUGAAAAGGUGUUAUAACCAUUUUACUAUUAAAUAAAGCGUUUUGCUUACGUUUGAGUGAUUGAAUUUCAGUCCAAGUGAGAUCAAAGGAGAAUAUUCCAUUCUUAUCUUGAAUUUCAGGUAUCCUGGUAGAUCGGUCCAUGAAAAGAGAUGCUGCAGUGGUUGUCCCUAUAAGAUCAGCAGAAGGCAAGCAGAAGGCGGUUCCAUCCUUGGACAGUUGAACAGAACAAUCGAUUAUCUCGGUUCCAUCAUCUAUGGCUUUCUGGUAUGCAAGAUCAGUCGACCCAGGGUAAUCUCCACUUGCUCCGUCGUCAGAUAUUAUCAGUGCUUUAAUGCAAGAAGACAACGAGUUAUUCCAUGUAGCAAUAGAUUGCAUAAUUUUGUUUUCCAAGACUAUGAAACGAUACAAAGUGUAACACUAUGAAACGAUACAAAGUCUUACCUUUUACAAUUUUGGGAGCAUUCUUGUUCUGGGCUAGGCAUGCUGCAACAUGAGCAGUUCUCAGGUCAGAACUAGAUCAUGUAAAACCAAGGAAGAAAGCUAAUGUAAAAUUUUGAGACAGUUUCAGUCAGUUUGACUUUUUGAUAGGUUUUACAGUACUCUUCCUUUUGACUCAUUGAGAAAUAUAUUAUAGGAAUGGAGGAGAGAAAAAGCAUAAUCUCACCAAUGGACUCUGAUGCGGUGGCAGGGAAAUCC